GGCGAGCGGAUCACCAGGUCAGGAGAUGGAGACCAUCCUGGCUAACACGGCUCCUGUACCAAAAUACCACAAACUAUGUGAUGAUAAACAACAGUAAUUUGUUUCUUACAAUUCUGAAGGCUGGAAUGUCCAAGAUCAUGGUGCCAGCAGAUUCAGUGUCUGGAGGACCCUCAUGAUUAUAUUUGGGACCCACCUGAAUAAUCCAGGAAUAUCUCCUCGACAUCAACAUUCUUAAUUUAAUCCCACUGACAAGAUCUCUUUUGCCAUAUAAG